UCAAUCCACAGCCCUGGGAUCAUGACCUGAGCCGAAAUCAAGAUUCUAAUGCUCACCGGAGCCAAAAUCAAGAUUCUGACUGGGCCACACAGCCACCCCUAGAUCUCUUUUAAGAUGUCGAUGAAUGUGCGGUGGUGAAUGGAGGCUGCCAGCAGCGCUAUAUUAACACUCUGGGCACCUUCCACUGUGAAUGUGAUACGGGAUACAGACUCCAUGCUGACGAACGCACCUGCAUAAAUAUAAAUGAGUGUGCUGAAGGGCUGGCUCACUGCAGCCGUCACUGCAUGAACACAAUGGGACCUUUCACAUGUGCCUGACACCCCGGCUUCGAGCUGGGAGCUGAUGGAAAACAGUGUUACACCUCUAAAAAAGGACAGAUAAUAACAUACCAUUAGCUUGAGAACAGAUGCGUCAACUGGCAAACAACCUACUUGCGUUCUGAUCAUCGAUUCAAUGGAUUGCAUUGGAAAUUGUCAAUAGCUGUAAAGAGAACAAUGGUGGUUGUUCCCAUCACUGAGAGCAUGUACUUGGGGGGGCCCCCCAUUGUUCCUGUAACCAUGGACACCAGCUUGAUUCAGAUGAGAAAACAUGCAUAGACCUCGAUGCAUGUGAGAGUUGAGAAGCCUGCUGUGCCCAACUCUGCCUCAACUAUUUAGGAGACUAUGAAUUCAGUUGUCAGGAAGGCUUUCGAAUCACUUCUGAUGGUUGUGGAUGUGAUGGUGUGGAUGAGUGUCUGAAUGUCAGUAGAGUCUGUGACCAGCUGUGUAUGAACUCUGUGGGAACAUACGACUAUACCUGUGUGGAAGGCUCCAGAAUUGGAAGUGAUGGGAAAACUUGCAUCUCUUUAGAUGCUGACAAGCCGGAGGAAGAAGAAGAGGAAUUGGAAGUUGUAAGGUUUCCAGGCCUUCUAUUCAAGAGCCCACCUCAACUGCUUCCUGAUGUUGCUACCGCUCUGCCUACCGCCUACACAGAUGAAGAUGAGGAGGACAGGAAACGCAUAUUCGAGAACUGACUGCCCUGCAUAGAAUUGACUGUCCCAAGGGGGUCUAUGGAGCUGGCUGCUCUUCAGAAUGUCAGUAUGUGGAGGAGAACACCCUGGAAUGCAGUGCCAAAAAUGGCAGUUGCACCUGCAAAUCUGGUUACCAAGGCAACAGAUGCCAGAAAGUCUGGAGCCCCUGGUGUAUCCAUAGUCUACAGCGCUUGCAAUGCCACUGCCCUGGCAGCCUGCCCUCUCCAGCCAGUACUGUGAUUGCCAAGAAUCUGCAAAUAUGUUAUCUUACAUCGCAAAUUGGACUUCGAAGACAUGAUUAAGGAUUUUGAGAUGGAUUACGUGGGUGUGUUCAAUGUAAUCACAAAGGUUCUCUUAAGAAGGAGGCAGGAAAUCAGAGGAAAAAGAAGAAGAAGCUAAGUUGCUGGCUAGGAAGAUGGAGAAAGAGGCCACAAGGAAUGGAGAUGGCUCCUAGAAGCCGGAAAAGGAAAUAGAUCCCCCCCCCCAAGUCUCCCGAAGGAACACAGCCCUGUCAUCACCUUGAUUUUAGACUUCUGACCUCCAGAACUAAAUAAUUUUUCCUGAAAGAUACAAGUAAAGAUGAUUUUUAAAUAGUAGGUAACUUUUUCAUAAUUAUUCUGAAUGUAUCUAUCCAGUGUUUGCCCAAAUACAGCACUUCUGUUGAACAGUUGAACCUGAUUUUAAGUAUAAGGUUUUCAAUGGAAAUCAAACAAAUUUUACUGAAGCACUAUGAGAUUUCCAUGUGUUACUAUGUCCGCUAGACUACUACUCAUAACAUUCUGUGAGUUUGUCCACCAGGCACAUAUGGGAAGGACUGUAAACAGGUAUGUCAGUGUUCAGCUGAGAAUGAAAAGUGUCACCCAGUCGCAGGGAGAUAUACCUGUCUUCCUGGCUACCAUGGAAACCGCUGUCAUCUCAGUAUCAUCAUGGUAGGCCACACAUCCAUGGAUGUGAAAGUAGAAAGGUGAGAAACCAACAGAAAAGAAAAUGCUUUCUCUAUGCUUUGUGCCAAUUUGAAUUUAUACUUGUGUGAAACCUGUAUCAUUCCAGAUAAGACAAACUAUGACAUUUAAAUAUUAAAUAAAAUAAUGAAUUUGCCUAGAGUGGAACAAAGUAGCCCUGUUUGGUGAAUUGUCACCUAUUCUGAGCACUAAGAGUGGGCAGAUUUCCAAGGAGACUCAGAGUUAAGUUUCCUGUAACUUAUUAAUGAGCAGCAUCAGGAAAUUUAUGCCCCCACCUGUAUUUCUAAGGCAUCUAUCUUUACCAUCUCAUCUCCUCAGAUAAGUGCCUGGCUUGAAUCAUUAGCUUGAAGGUGAUUGAAAACACCAAAGAACGGUAUUUGGAAUGUUGAGUUAACCACAUGUCUAUGGGCAUGAAUUUCAACCCUGAUUGCUUUGAGUUACAGUAUCACAUAUGGUUUUGUUCUCCUUCAACAAGAUGCCCAGAAGGCACUUAUGAUCUAAAUUGCCAAAGGAUGCAUAAGUACCUUAAUGGCGGCAGCUGUGAUACCGUGAUUGGCACCUAUCACUGCCCUCCUGGCUUCAUUGGGGCCGACUGCAGUCAAACUUGUCCUGAGGAUCACCACGGGCGGGACUGUGUCCAACCGUGUUCUUGUGGCUCAGGACAGUGUGACCCAGUGACUGGAAGGUGCCAAUGUCCACCUGGCAAAAUGAGAGCCAGGUGUCAGCAAGGGUAUCCCAAACAAUGUAUGGCCCAAACUGUGAACUGAAAUGUACCUGUAAAAUGGUGGACUUUGCAAUCCUGUGGACGGAAGCUGUACUUGUUAUCUUAGAUGGACAGGAAAUUAUUGUGGAAAAGUUCUGGAGUCUGGGAAACCUAACAUUAAGGUGCCAGCCAAUUUGGUUCCUGGAGAAAGCCCUAUUUUCUGAUUUGCAGGUAACUUUUCUAUUAUUUUAUCCUUUUAUGGCAGACAGAGAAAGAGUGUGAAAGCUCUCUUGUGUCUCAUCUAAUAAGGGCACUAGGUCCAUCAUAAAGUUCCACCCUCCUUUGUAUGGCCUUUUUCUCCAACAGGAUAAUUGGGUUUCUUAGGUGACUGCUGAUUUCCCAAAGCAGAGGUUAUCAGGUCUUCCUAAGGCUUGGGAGUGAUAUAACAUCACUUCUACCACAUCCUAUUGGAUAAGGCAAGUCAUAGGAUUAAUGUAGAUUCCAUGUGGGAUGGGCAGUACAAGAGUGCAAACCCCAGGGGAUAUGGUUUAUUAGGAGCAUCUUUGGAUUAUAGAUUCUGCAUGAUUCAAAGUUUCUUGUUGUUUGUAAUAAGAUAUAUCUUUUUUUCCUUCUUUUUUUUUUUUUUUUUUUUAGUUUCAGUCAUAAUUAGGAAUUUAUUUCCCAUUUUCAAGUUUUAGGAGAAUUCAUUCAUGUUUUCUUUUCAUACUUGUAGCAUGUCAUCUUUGACACUUAAUUCUCUGAUCAAUUUUAAGUAUUUUUCCUGGUGUAUGGUGUAAGGAAUAUAUCUAUUUUCCCUUUAUAUAGCUUUUCAGUUAUUAUAUGGCAACUUUUACAAGUCUAUCUUACCCACUGCUUUGAGAUGCAGCCUUCAUCAAAUACUAAACAUUUAUAUGCAGUUAGAUAUAGUUCUGGAUGCUCUAUUUUAUUGGUUUGUUUAUUUAUGUGCAAAUGAAAUGAAAUACUGUUUUAUUAUGAGUCUUUAUUAUAUAUAUUUGAUACUGAUAGGGCAAGCCACCAUUCAUUGCUGUUAUUUUCAGGGAUUUCCUGAUACAUUUUUGUGUAUGUGUCCCACGAAAUAAACUUUAUAAAUAAAUUGUCUAGAUGCAAAAAUGAAAAAAAAAAACAAAAAAACAAAAACAAAAUACAGGUGUUUUUGUUUGUUUGUUGCUAUUUUUGUCCUCUGCAUUUACUCUGUUAGGGAAAAUUAAUAUAUUUAUGAUGUUAACUCAUUUUAUCCAAAAACAAACAUGCUCUAUCUAUUUGUUCAAUAUUUUUGUUUCCCAUCAAGUGAAAUGUUGGGUUUUAAUAUCCAUAUUAAGAUAGCUAUUAAUUUUCUGAUUUAUUCAAUGAUUUUACUGAAUUUUUUAGUGAAUUUAUUUUUUGAAUAUAUUUUCUGCAUCUAUGGAAUUAAUAAUAUGAUUUUUCUCUUUUGACUGAUAAAUAUGAUGCAUGUAUUAAUGAAUUUUCUAAUGUUGAAUGACCUUACAUUUUUGGAAUAAAUACUACUUGAUCAUGAUAUAUUGCUUUAUAAUAUGCUGUUGGUUUCUGUGUACUUACAUUUUUUAUGAAUUUGGCAUCAAUAUUCAUAGGUAAAAUUAAGCUGUAGUUUUAUAUGCAUUUUGUCAGGUUUUGGAAUUGAUGUUAUACUCAAUAAAAUGUAUUUGAAAUUACUCUUCCUUUUCAAUGCUCUGAAAUAGUGUAUAUAGUAAGGUGAUAAUCUCAUCCGCAAAAGGCUUAUAGAAUUCCAUAUGAAACCUAAGACUGGUGGGAUUUUUGUUGCUGUUGUUUUAAAUCAGAAACUAUUUUACUAUUUGCUUUAUUGUUUUUGUAUUAUAAUUAGUCUAUCUAGGUUUUCAGCCUCAAAUUAGAGGAAUUUUGGUAAGUUGUCCUCUAUAAGUUUUCCAUUUCCUUUAGGUUUUUAUACUUAUUUGUAUCAUGCUUUUUGUAAGAUAGUGGUCCAGCUUUCCUUUUUAUGGUUAGUCCACAUAAAAAAAAAAAAAAAAAAAAAAUUGGGUGUGUUUCUGUUUUUGUCUUGAUUAGGUCAGCUAAUGAUUUGCUCUUAUUUUUUUAUCGAUUCUUCAGUUUGUUUCUGUUUUUGAACUCAUUACUACAAAUUCAGUGGCCUUAACUAGAACUAGUGCUUGGGUGGUUUCUUUUUCAGAAUGUUCCUGGUUAUUAUGGCUCAGGCUGCCAUUUUAAUUGCUCAUGUCAGAACAAUGGAGUCUGCAGUCGGUUUUCUAAAAGCUGUGAGUGCCUUUAAGGUUUCCACAGAAGGAACUGUGAACAUGGUAAACAGAGAUAACAAGUGGGCAUUUCAUAGUGUUGACAAGUUUUAAGCUUUAAAAACUGCUUUGGGGCGCCUGGGUGGCUCAGUUGUUUGAGCAUCUGACUUCGGCUCAGGUCGUGAUCUCCCAGUUUGUUUGAGCCCCACAUGGGGCUCUGUGCUGACAGCUCAGAGCCUGGAGCCUGCUUCAGAUUCUGUGUCUCCCUCUCUCUCUGCUCCUCCCCUGCUUGCGCCCUGUGUCUCUCCCUUUCUCAAAAAUAAAUACACGUUAAAAAAAAAAUUAAACUGCUUUAAAUCAUUAAAGUAAUACAUUCACAUUAUAUCAAAUUAGGUAAACUGUUAAUGAUUUAGUUUCUUACAAUGGAUUUCAUAGCUCUAAUUUAAGUUCUAGAUGUUGCAUCUAGAUGUUGCCAUGAUGAAGUAAUUGAACUUGUUCAUUCUUUUUACAACUCUUGUUCAACAAUGAUUCCAUGGUUCUGGGAGCAUCUGGAGUAGACACAAGCAGAGGAGUCAGCUGCCAUACUUUUUGAACAAAGUUGUUCUUCCUCUGCCUUUAGGCAAAAUAUAGACAAGCUCUGGCAAACAUAUUUCCCAGGAACAAAUCUUAUUAAGCUUUCUGAAGUUUAGAAUUCUCGCCAACUACUCUGAGGUUUCUUAGCGUGCCUUCCUGGAUUUUAUGGUUUGGAUUGUGCUCACAUCUGUGACUGCAAAAAUGGAGCCAGUUGUGAUGCAGUGAAUGGACAGUGCAUUUGCCCAGCAGGUUUCCAUGGCAGCCAGUGUGAAAAAGAAUGCAGGUCAGGCCAGUAUGGAUCGAACUGUGCUCUGAAGCGUCAGUGUAUCCACAGAGCUCGCUGUAACUCUCAUGUUGGAAGCUGCACUUGCCCCUCAAAGAGAAUGGGUCCAACGUGUGAGGAAAAUGAUUUGGGCGAGCCUCAAUAACCAACUACUAGCAGCUUUUCUGUGGGCGAAUAGAAUGUUGCCAGGGUUCACCCAUGGUUCAUCAUCCUAACUUUGGCAGAGAAAUGUACUUACUCAACAACUAUCUUCGGCCCAGCUUCGCCUGUUGUGAGGUGAAAAACAGGCCGUUUCAACUUUAUGGCUUCCAAAGACAAGUUCCAUUCUCUAAGCUACCCUUCCCAACUGCUUUUUGCUGAAGAACAUGCCCAAGAAAAAGAAUGUUUUUUCAAGAUCCCAAUCAUAGUAACAUUUUGGACUAAUAAAUAAAACUCUUUUUUUUUUUAUAU